UAUUGUUUAAUAUUUUGAUAAUUUCAACAUCACUUCCUGUGAUCACGUGACUUCAUAGUUUAUGAUUUUGCACGAAAUGUUUCGCGCUAUGAAGGCUGUGUGUUGAACAAUAACAUUGUUGAAGCUGAAUUAUUUCUAGCUAGGUGUACCAACUGUUGUACAGUAUCACUGUGGUCGACGGUGACCUUGACCUGAGUUUAUGCAUUGAGGCCCUAGUUGGGCACACUGUCAUUUAUUACUGCCAAUAUCAUUACCA